UUGUUUUUCCAAAGGGAGGAAGGUUACUGAGAGGGGAAGAUGAAUUGUGAGAUCACUUUUGAGUGUGUUUUAGUCGUUCCCGCUACCCACACCCCCUUUGGGGGGAACAUGUGAUCAAGGAGAGAGGGUGCUGCUAACCCACGGAACGGCCCGAAGCAUUGCAGAUCGGUGCUGAGUUGUUUUUGGAAGACGGCACACAGAGGGAAACCUGCUGUACUACUUGAAGUAAUCUACUUCCUCUUGGGCCAGGCAUAUUAAAAAAAGACCAAGUCUACAAAGUUUAUCUGAGAAACUAAUAUCAUAGAUACUGGAAUGGCCUCAGAGUGGACCUUUCCAUAGUCCUUCAAUGCUUUACUCAGUUACACUGGUUUAAAAAAACAACAACCCACCAUUGUAAUGGGAACCCACCUAAACAGUUUACGUUUGACGUCUUCUUGGGCUGGAUUUCUUGGGUGUUUGCUCCACUGAACUGGCACUCGGGGAUUCUUCUGAAACCUCUUCUUCUGUUGUGUUGGCUCUUUUAGGUUGAGGAGAAGAAUCUGGGGGGGGGGGGGACAUUGAAAGAAACAAAAAGAAAAGUGAAAACUUGAUAUUAAAUAUAUUUGCUGCCAGAUGUUUGCGCUGCAUGGGAUAACAGGGGACUGGAGGACCCUGAAUAUUUAUGACCCUCAGGGUCAACUAUCGAAGGAGAUGAAAGAGAUGGGGAGGAGCGGUUUUUUUUUGGUUAAAUAAAGAUACAAGUUUCUUGUUUUGUCCAAAAUAUCCUUCUACACUUUGCUUCAUAUGUGUUAUGAAACUUGUACUAUUUAAAAAAGUCAAAAGGAUGCAGAGUUCAGAUACCGAUUACUACAGUUGCGGGGAGCGGAAGGUGGUGUUAGUUUGUAAGGGCAUUUGGUUGCAAAUGAUCCAUGGGCUCCAGAAGCCAAUUUAACUUAAGAUUCCCAGGAGUACAGACAGUCCUGGGUUUUUAAACUAAGAGGGGUAUAUCUGAAAACGCUGCCUGCCAGUAAACCAGUAGAACAGUUUAUACAGGACAUGAGCGUGAGGUGUACAGCGCUAACUACCACUGACAAGGAUACAGUACAGAAAGCAAAAAGCUUUUGUUUUAUAAGAGUACGUUACCAUCCGUCGUUGGUCGUUUUCUUUGCCCAGUGCACUG